rnacentral:rRNA from 1 species
AUGGCCACCGUCUCGCGAGCUACCGCAGCUGAAGCCGCCAUUGGCGCCAUGAUCGACGACCACGCCGCGGGCUACCGCAAGAGACGGCGCAUCGGGAACACCGACGAGUACGAGCUGACGCGCGUGCUCGGGGCGGGCGGCUUCGGCGUCGUCGUCAAGGCGCGCCACCGCGCCACCGGAGAGGACGUCGCCCUCAAGUUCCUCGUCCGCUCACCCGAUGGCGGCGGCGACGGCAAGAGGAGGCGCCACCGUGCACACGCGCUCCACCGCGACCUGCUGCGCGAGGCGUGCUACCUCAAGGCGUGCCGCGGCCACCCCUCGAUCGUCGGCUUGCACGGCAUCGCGCGGGACCCCCGCACCGGGCAGUGCAGCCUCGUGCUGGAGCACGUCGGCCCGAACCUCGCCCACGUCCUGCGCGAUCGCCGCCGGCCGUUCACGGAGGAGGAGACGCGCCGCGUCAUGCGGCAGCUCCUGAGCGGCGCCGGGAGGAUGCACGAGCGCGGCAUCGUCCACCGGGACAUCAAGCCCGGGAACGUCCUCGUCGGCGGCCAGGGCGUGGUGAAGAUAUGCGACCUCGGGCUGGCCGUGUCCAUGGCGAGCGCGCCGCCGCCGCGCGGCCGGGCCGGCACGCGCUGGUACAUGGCUCCCGAGAUGCUCCUGGGGAGGCCGGACUACGAUGAGCUCGUGGACGCCUGGUUGCUCGGCUGCGUCAUGGCGGAGCUGCUCACCGGAGAGACACUGUUCCCAGGACAAAACGCGGUCGACCAGCUCCUCCGAAUCUCCAGCGUGCUCGGCGGCGCGUGUGUAGGAUUCGCGCACGCGCCGCUCGCCGCCGCGGGGCAGAUGCCGCCGACACGCCGAUGCGACAGCCGGCUGCGCGAGCUGUUCCCGGAGGAGCGCCUGUCGCGCGAUGGAUUCGAGGUUUUAGACGGGCUCCUCACAUGCGACCCUAGCGAGCGUCUGCCGGCGGCCGUGGCGCUCCAGUGCCCGUGGUUCACUGGUACCGCCUACGUCCCUGCCUCUGCUGCGUAG